AUUGAACGCUGGCGGCGUGCUUAACACAUGCAAGUCGAACGAUGAAGCCGGAGCUUGCUCUGGUGAAUUAGUGGCGAACGGGUGAGUAACACGUGAGUAACCUGCCCUUGACUCUGGGAUAACUGCGGGAAACUGUAGCUAAUACCGGAUACGACCACUUCGGGCAUCCGAUGGUGGUGGAAAGAAUUUUGGUCAGGGAUGGGCCCGCGGCCUAUCAGCUUGUUGGUGGGGUAACGGCGCACCAAGGCGACGACGGGUAGCCGGCCUGAGAGGGCGACCGGCCACACUGGGACUGAGACACGGCCCAGACUCCUACGGGAGGCAGCAGUGGGGAAUAUUGCGCAAUGGGCGAAAGCCUGACGCAGCGACGCCGCGUGAGGGACGACGGCCUUCGGGUUGUAAACCUCUUUCAGCAGGGACGAAGCGCAAGUGACGGUACCUGCAGAAGAAGCACCGGCUAACUACGUGCCAGCCGCCGCAGUAAGAC
rnacentral:rRNA from 1 species